rnacentral:rRNA from 1 species
UACAGAGGGUGCAAGCGUUGUUCGGAAUUAUUGGGCGUAAAGGGCGCGUAGGCGGUGCGGUAAGUCUGUAGUGAAAUCUCUGGGCUCAACUCAGAGUCUGCUGCAGAAACUGCCGUGCUUGAGUGUGGGAGAGGUGAGUGGAAUUCCCGGUGUAGCGGUGAAAUGCGUAGAUAUCAGGAGGAACACCGGUGGCGAAGGCGGGUCUCUGGCCCGGUACUGACGCUGAGGUGCGAAAGCGUGGGGAGCAAACAGG